GGGGCAGUGUGCUGGCGGAAUGUUAGAACUGGGAUUGAUAUAUUCACUGCCGUAACAUUCCAAGUCUGUCUCAUUGUGGGCAUCAGCAGGUUAUUUCAGUUAGGUGCAUGUUAAUCCUGUGGAAACGCAUGUAUGUGCUGCGCUGACCGAACCUGUUGCUGUGUGAUUGGACAGUGAGCGAAGGGAUGGUCUCUCAGAGUCGAGGCAGGAUGAGGAACAGCCUUCAGUUUGGUCCACCCAGCAUGAGUGAAGGGAUGGAUUCUCAGAAUAGCAGCUCGAACCUGGGUUUCCGGAGGAGAAACAGCCUUGAGCUUGAACCACCCAGCAUAGGUGGCAGCACUGAGCAGAUGUGGACAGAGAGCACUACAGGCCCGCAGGAAGCCCUGAGGAAGAGACGCCAGUCUUGGUCGCCCUCCACCUUCUCAACCGCCUCGACUGGACAAGAUUCAGGAAUUACUUCCCGCUUGGGUUCCCUUCGGUCCUUAACCAUCUCUGAGUACCCGGCCGAGAGCGACGCAGCACUUCCUCCCGGCACAGGAAGCCGGUAGCAGAUGUAGGGAGGCAGUUUGGAAAUUCUUUACCAUCUCACCAAGAAGGCUGGACCUUCUACAGCACAGUGUCCCCAUCACUACCUUUGGACAGUGGGUUUCCUGCAUGAUUCGGUGUGUAGACUGCCCCCUGCUGGCUGAAUCACCAGCAGCAGGGGUGCACUGUAAACAGGGGCACCGUCAGGGAUUUUGGGUCCCAUGAAAAGAUCACGCAUUGGGCCCCACCCCCCCAGGCCACCCCAUCCCUGCACAAUUGUUUGAGGGCCCCAUUCAGUCAGGGCCCUUAGAAUUCCUAACUUCACCCCUUCAUAUGGGGCCCCUGGCUGUGAGCAGGCAGAGAUCUCUCAUCUUCAGGUCAACCAAGCCCAGCCUCUCUGUGCUUCAGCUAUCUGCCAGUUCCCAUGCCAACCAAGCCCAGCCUCUCUGUGCUUCAGGUAUCUGCCAGUCCCCAUGCCAACCAAGCCCAGCCUCUCUGUGCUUCAGGUAUCUGCCAAUCCCCAUGCCAACCAAGCCCAGCCUCUCUGUGCUUCAGCUAUCUGCCAAUCCCCAUGCCAACCAAGCCCAGCCUCUCUGUGCUUCAGCUAUCUGCCAGUCCCCAUGCCAACCAAGCCCAGCCUCUCUGUGCUUCAGCUGUCUGCCAGUCCCCAUGCCAACCAAGCCCAGCCUCUCUGUGCUUCAGGUAUCUGCCAGUAGGGGGCCAAAGAGUCACAUGACCGCUGGCCUUUCUGCCAUUAUAUCUGCUACUGUCACUGACUGUCACUGUCGUUUCCAGAGCGCUUUAACCAACUGGAAUAUGGUACAUGUUCACACGACUUUUAAUUGUUUAUUUGUCAUUUUUAUUAUCACUUUUGAGAUGACAUUUUAUUCAUUUUCAAAGAACAUACAAACAACACAGAGCACGACAGCACACAAAGAAUAACAGCACAUAGUAAUCAUUAGAUUAACUGUGGAAGACAGAGACAUAAAAUACACCUGAUGGACAUGGCCUUGUAUUCAUAUUGAGUGUUACGGUACAUCAUUUGGUGAUGGUCUACACCUCAACGACAGGUGUGUAUGCUCUACAGGUAAAUUGGUCUACGAUGGGUUUCCAUAGGAAGGGCCUUAAAUAUGACCCGGUACCACUGUGUCACAGUCAUGGGCUGGUCCCUGAUCCACUGGGCAGAAUGCAGUGUCUGGCUAGAAGUAAAAGCGUUUCUAUCAGUUUAGUGUAUAUUGUCCAGCUGUCAAUGAAAAGCCUAGUUCUGUAGCCCAAAAUGUGUUUAUUUUUAUGGGAUAUGUAUUAAUAUUGUUAUCAAUCGGUGGACCUAUAUUAUAAGAUUAAAUCCAUAAACAGUGAUUGUGAUGGAUAUAUUUCUGGCAAUGAAUGUUCAUGAAUGUGCUGAUUAUAUGAAAUACAUUGUACAGUAAACCCAUUAAAUGUCAUUGCUGAUAUAUAUGAGGCUUGUAUGCGCUAGGGCUGGAGAGGAACAGGGGGUGGUGGGUGACUGAGGUUUUAAGAUUGUAUUGUAAAAUGAACUGUAUGUGUUUAGUUGCAUACAAAAUAAAAC